rnacentral:rRNA from 1 species
CCUACGGGAGGCAGCAGUAAGGAAUAUUGGUCAAUGGACGCAAGUCUGAACCAGCCAUGCCGCGUGAAGGAUUAAGGUCCUCUGGAUUGUAAACUUCUUUUAUAUGGGACGAAAAAAGGCGAUUCUUCGUCACUUGACGGUACCAUAUGAAUAAGCACCGGCUAACUCCGUGCCAGCAGCCGCGGUAAUACGGAGGGUGCAAGCGUUAUCCGGAUUCACUGGGUUUAAAGGGUGCGUAGGCGGGCAGGUAAGUCAGUGGUGAAAUCCUGGAGCUUAACUCCAGAACUGCCAUUGAUACUAUCUGUCUUGAAUAUUGUGGAGGUAAGCGGAAUAUGUCAUGUAGCGGUGAAAUGCUUAGAUAUGACAUAGAACACCUAUUGCGAAGGCAGCUUACUACGCAUAUAUUGACGCUGAGGCACGAAAGCGUGGGGAUCAAACAGGAUUAGAUACCCUGGUAGUCCACGCCCUAAACGAUGAUUACUCGACAUUUGUGAUACACUAUAAGUGUCUGAGCGAAAGCAUUAAGUAAUCCACCUGGGAAGUACGACCGCAAGGUUGAAACGUUCAAAUGAAUUGACGG